UAUGGGGGGGGGCUAUACAUGCAAGUCGAGCGGACCGACGGGAGCUUGCUCCCUUAGGUCAGCGGCGGACGGGUGAGUAACACGUGGGUAACCUGCCUGUAAGACUGGGAUAACUCCGGGAAACCGGGGCUAAUACCGGAUGCUUGAUUGAACCGCAUGGUUCAAUCAUAAAAGGUGGCUUUUAGCUACCACUUACAGAUGGACCCGCGGCGCAUUAGCUAGUUGGUGAGGUAACGGCUCACCAAGGCGACGAUGCGUAGCCGACCUGAGAGGGUGAUCGGCCACACUGGGACUGAAACACGGCCCAGACUCCUACGGGAGGCAGCAGUAGGGAAUCUUCCGCAAUGGACGAAAGUCUGACGGAGCAACGCCGCGUGAGUGAUGAAGGUUUUCGGAUCGUAAAACUCUGUUGUUAGGGAAGAACAAGUACCGUUCGAAUAGGGCGGUACCUUGACGGUACCUAACCAGAAAGCCACGGCUAACUACGUGCCAGCAGCCGCGGUAAUACGUAGGUGGCAAGCGUUGUCCGGAAUUAUUGGGCGUAAAGCGCGCGCAGGCGGUUUCUUAAGUCUGAUGUGAAAGCCCCCGGCUCAACCGGGGAGGGUCAUUGGAAACUGGGGAACUUGAGUGCAGAAGAGGAGAGUGGAAUUCCACGUGUAGCGGUGAAAUGCGUAGAGAUGUGGAGGAACACCAGUGGCGAAGGCGACUCUCUGGUCUGUAACUGACGCUGAGGCGCGAAAGCGUGGGGAGCGAACAGGAUUAGAUACCCUGGUAGUUCCACGCCGUAAACGAUGAGUGCUAAGUGUUAGAGGGUUUCCGCCCUUUAGUGCUGCAGCAAACGCAUUAAGCACUCCGCCUGGGGAGUACGGUCGCAAGACUGAAACUCAAAGGAAUUGACGGGGGCCCGCACAAGCGGUGGAGCAUGUGGUUUAAUUCGAAGCAACGCGAAG
rnacentral:rRNA from 1 species